rnacentral:lncRNA from 1 species
GCUCAGUUUCCUCCAUAAAAUUGAUCAAUACCAGGGCCUCUGCAUUGGACAACUCCAGAGGGCACCAUUUGGGUUAUACCUUAUGUUUGCCUAACCUUCAUUGCAGUGGGCAGGUGCAUGCUUUCUACAACGUCCUAAGGUCUAAAGGGGUAGAGUUCUGUGUGUGGCAUUUUAGGCCUGGGAAGGAUGAGAGUCUACAAAACCAGAGAAAUACUGCAGAAUCCAAUGAACACAUGGACCCAACACUCCUUUGGCCAAGUUGAUGAUUCUCCACCAUUUAUUUGCCUGCCUCACUAUAUACUUCUAGCAAGCCACUGCAAGGCUGCAUUGCAGCUAAGAGGAAGCCCUCCUUGAAGGCUGCACAGCAAGGAGUGUUGGCAGAGUAGCUGGGUUUCCACUGGGAGAGCACGAGUCAGCACCAUGCUGGGCUCAAGCAUGGAUAUGCACUGCUGCUGCCAGAGCAUCAUAAUUUGCAAGCAUUUAUCGAGUACCCUUCAUCUAAUUUUCAUCCUGCGGAAACUAGAAAUUGCUAC